rnacentral:rRNA from 1 species
CUGGCGGCGUGCCUAACACAUGCAAGUCGAACGAGAAAGUGGAGCAAUCCAUGAGUAAAGUGGCGACCGGGUGAGUAACACGUGACUAACCUGCCUUCGAGUGGGGGAUAACCUCGGGAAACCGGGGCUAAUACCGCAUAAUGCCUUCGGGUUAAAGAAGCAAUUCGCUUGAAGAGGGGGUCGCGGCUGAUUAGCUAGUUGGUGAGGUAACGGCUCACCAAGGCGAUGAUCGGUAGCCGGCCUGAGAGGGCGCACGGCCACACUGGAACUGAAACACGGUCCAGACUCCUACGGGAGGCAGCAGUGGGGAAUUUUGCGCAAUGGGGGAAACCCUGACGCAGCAACGCCGCGUGGAGGAUGAAGUCCCUUGGGACGUAAACUCCUUUCGACCGGGACGAUUAUGACGGUACCGGUGGAAGAAGCCCCGGCUAACUUCGUGCCAGCAGCCGCGGUAAUACGAGGGGGGCAAGCGUGGUUCCGAAUUAUUGGGCGUAAAGGGCGCGUANGCGGUGCGGUAAGUCACCUGUGAAACCUCUGGGCUUAACUCA